GCCACACAUCUGAAAAAACAAAAACAAAAAACGGGCUUACUGAUAACCAUGUAGCUAGCGACCAUGCUAUCCGUAAUAAUAAUAGUUUUAUUUAUUGAGCGCCAUUCGGGAAGCACGCGGUGAUGACGCCAGCAAGGCUUCCCCCGCGCCAGCGAGAUCACACAAGAACCAAGACCAAUUCCUGUUGUUCGCUUGGAUAAGAACGGAAGAAACAGAGGACUCGGUCCUCUUCACGGAAGAGUGCUGUUGCUGCAUGCUGCCCAUGCAUGCACGCCAUUAAUUCGUGGCUUCUGCCUUAUAUUUAUUCUUCCCAUGGGCAUGGCCUCCAGAGAGAGACAAAACGCGAUCUGAAAAAUCCACAUCAAUCUCCAGCUGCUGGCCGUAGGCGGUAUAGCAUACAGUCCAGACAGUCAGAUAGAGAGGCACCUCAUCAGUCGUGCAUUAUUGCCCUCUUGUACGUACACGGCAGUUUUAAAUUGAAAAAAUAUGGCCGAGAACGAGGGUAGGUUCCGCUGGGAUUCGAAUCUGGACACUUUUUUUUGCAGGAGCUGCGUUCAAUUGCUUGACGACGGGCUAAUAACCCAGAGGCAGCCCUCCUUACAUGACGAGGCUCUGGAAUACUUGUCGCAAAAAUUUUCUACGGUGAAUUCAACAGUUUCAAAAAAGACUCUGAUGAACAAAUGGAACUGUAUGAAACAGCUGUAUGACAGUUAUGUUCUGUUUCGUAUCCACUCGUCAAAUAUGGGAGAGUUGAAAAGCCGCAGGAUGUACAUAAAAAAGACAAAGAAAUGUGCGAACGUAUUUAAGCAUAUGAUAAAUGAACCACCUAAGAAUUUGGAUCUACUUAAAAGAUUGUUCCACGACGAAGAUCAAGGGACACCGCCAUCAUCCCCGCCACACCCAUCGUUCGAGCCACAGUCAUCGUUCAUGCCAGAGUCGUCGUCCCCGCCACAGUCGUCAUCAUUCAUGCCAGGGUCGUCGUCCCCGCCACAGUCGUCAGUGUCAUCCUCGUAACUUUCCUUUAUUUUAUGGAUAGGGUAUGCAUGUAUAUCCUACCACAUUUAGGGACGAAUGUUGAUACCCGAAUUGUUAGGACAAGUUUAAUAAUAUUUUUAAAUUAUAUAUAUGUAUGAAAUUUGAUGUCAAUCUUUUAUCAAGCACAUUAUUACAGAUAAGAAAAGAAUUUGCAUAAAUUGUUUUAUGCAUUGUUUCCUCCUUGCAACAAAAGCGGAGGGGGCAAUGUAUAGGUGAUCCUCCACCACUCGCUUCACCAGGCGUAGUAAUUCUGUGUGCGCAUAUGAUAUGAAACAGGGAAAUUCUAAAGUUUGCAAGACUGACAAUUGCCCUCGUACUUGUAAAAUACUUUUUUCGGUGGUUUCACCUGAAUUAAUUAUUUCGUAAUAAACCAAUAAAAGAUAUGAGCUGCAUAGAGAAGAAACUUGUAAAGGAACAGAAUUGUUCGAUUAUGCUUACCUAUACUAGCACUA